CUGAGCUGAAGUCGGGUGCUCAACUGACUGAGCCACCCAGGUGCCCCUUGAAUUAUUUUUAACAUUUUAAACCAUUUUACUGAAGUAAAGGAAAGUAAUAAAGAAAUAAAGUUGGAAGUAUCCCUAGGAAUUCCUCCUACUAUUAUUUGGUUACAUCCUCAUUAAUGGAAUAAGCAUCCAGUUACAACUACAGGGAAAUAGAUUCUACGUCUUUCACAAGUCACUUAAAUAAUCUCCACAGAUAUAAGCAUUUAUUUCACUUCACCCAACUGUGCUAUGCUAUAGCUGAAAUCUCUUACAUCUUUUAAUCAAAUCUUAAUAGGGACUGAGUAUAUUGGUUUGGAUCCUUUGUAACAAGAUCAUUAUAUCUGUUUGUUACUACUACCAGUCUUCCCUCAUGCAAAAGAACACCAGUGCUCACUGGACAAUGCUUAAUUGUAAUGUCCACUUCUAACCAUCUCACUUUGAGAAUGACACACACAGGAGUAUCCUUUCCACAAAUGAAGAAACUAAGCCACCACAGUAGGUCCAUUUACACCAGCCAACCUUGCAAAUCUCUUCAAAGAACAAAAAAUUGUGUCUUUAGUAUCUAAGCAGAUCAACCCAUACAUUAGCAGCCCCUGAGAAUCUCAGACUAUGGAAUAAUAAACAAGUCUCCCUGCUGACUGCUUUCUCUAUGAGGUAACUUGUAGAAGGAAUGUGUAGAAGUUAUAGAAGGAGCAAUGGUAGAGGUAGACUAUGGAAUUCUGUUAGUGCUGGUGUGUUUUAAAACUAUUGCAAGGCCAAACUGCUACAGAAUUUGUUCCCAGACUAUCAUCUGUGGAAAAGCUUCUAUUUGUGUAGUCGUGUUUCAGGGCAAUCAAGAGACACUCUUGAACCAUUAUGCAGUAUAUUCUUUUCUUAACAUGGAAGGAUCUUAACUAUGAAGAUUUCAAAAUCAAUUUGUUAAAAGUUCCGUCAUGUUAUUUUCUUAGACUCUAGGCAACAGAAACAGAAAAUAUAUUGAUUGAACUAAAAAAAAAAAAAAACAAAACGAGAAAAACCCCCCAAAAAUACAAAAAAUUCAGAGGAAUAGCCCAUAUCCUAUCACAUAUUUAAAUAAUUCAAGAAAAAGUCUUGAUGCUGCCUUUCUUUCCCCUUUAUACCAAUGCCCCAUGGUACUCGUUCUCAUUUGUUUCUCAAGAUUAUGAUUAUUGCUAUGUUUUGAAAAGUAUAAUUACCCUAUAUUUGUACCCAGAAUUCCUAAUAGAGAUUUUGAAAGCACCAGCAUGGUAAUGGAGAGUGAGGUAAGAGAACAAGGGGAUGGGUCCUGUGUGAAAAAUGGAGGCAGGAGGUCCUGAGCAUUGUUCUUCCCCCUCAAACUAGCAGGUAUGUCUCAAAUGUGCUCUAACCUUGUUGGGUAUCAUAUGUGGUGUGGUUUGCAGAGGAAAAGCCAAUGAAGCCCCACCAGAAAAUCCAUCUCUAUCCAUGAAAGCCUUUUUCCAGAGAAGGUAUUUCUCCUUAGUUAAAAUAGGAUCUGGAUCAAAGGAGCAGAAUGUGAAGACUUGGUGGUGUAAUUCUUGCUGUUCUAAUAAGCCAUGUGAUUGCCCAGCUCAUUCCAUCAAGCUGUGUGUCUGCUUCUUCUUCUUACAUAUGUCUCUGAGACGUGACCGUGAGAUCUUCUCCUGAAGCACUUACAUGGUUGUAGCAGCGAAGGUCAGAGUGCUUAGAGACUGAGGGAUUUCAUGUGCCUAGAAAUAUAGAACCAUCUCCAUGCUCUUGUUUCUGUGAUAACGAGACAAACAAGAUGGCAGAUUCAGGAUUCCUGUCCAUUGUGUGUGUGUGUUGGGGGGAGGGUUUGGUGUGGGAAUGAGGUGGAGGGUGGAGUGAAGGCAAGGAAUGGGUAGAGGAAGGAGACUUAAGGAGGAGGAGGAGGCACUGGGAAGUAAGCCUAGGGCUGGUAUCUGGGGAAAGGAGAACCAAUACCUCUUUUGUUGUCAGGAAAGCCCUGGGCACAAAGGGUGAGUUUGAGUUUCACUUCAGGUCAGUCCAGGGCAUUGUGAAAAGGCAGCUCUCAGACAGUGAGCUUAACUGACUGACUCUGAGGUAAUUAAAUCACUACAUUAGGCUGCUGACCAUGAAAGCAGAAAAAUACAAGCACACAAAAAAUAAAGAAGAAAAAAAAGCCCUUACAUUUGUUUCUAAUUAUAUAAUUAAAAUGUUUACUGUUCCAUGUAAUAAUUAUGUGGCUCAUAUUUGAUCAUGAUGGAGUUUCUCUAAUUAGUUAAAAGUUUUACCCAUUCUUCUUGUGGGACAAAAUUUGGUUUUAUUUAGUCAUUUUUCAUUCAGGCAUGUAAGGCUUCCAUGCCAUCUGACUUUGUUUUAUUCUGGCUGGGGUCUUGGCAAAUUCUGUGGUAAUUUUCAGUUUUAUUUCCUCUCUUCAGUGAUGUCUGUAAUUUUGGACAGCCAGUUACCUGAGGAAAGGAUUGUUUCUUAGUCCUCCAUUUGCUUUCCUAAUGUAAAUUUUAUUUCUCAGACUCCAUGAUGCAUGGUAGGUGUCAAACCAGAACGGUCAUUCUGCAGCGCUGAGAAGGUCCCCUACAGAGGACUUGGUGGCCUCCACAGUUCCAUUGUGACUGGCUCAUUUUUCCUCUUUUAACCGCUAUUACCUUGAGCUUCCUGUAGCUUUAGAUCUUGAUUAUUCAGGGGCUGAUUCAUUACAUCGCAAAUUAUCUAGGCACUUUAUUUCUCUUCCUCCUCAUCUCCUAUCUCCUUUUUAUUUUUUAUUUAUCUCUUUGUGUUUUGCCAUUUUACAGAUGACCGCCAACAGUCAUCAGAAUAAUGCAUGUGGAAAGAAAAAUGACAAAAGGAAAAGCAGUUACAUAUUGUUCUUGUUCAUUGUUCUGGCUAAUGGUGGUAGCAGAGAAGACGCUGAAGUUUAGGACUAAAAUUAGAUUUUACUUUUAGUUAUGUAAUUCAAUGAUCUAUUUAUUGUCUGUUACUUCAAAUAAGUAGUUUGGUGGGAUAAGUGGGUUUAUAGCGGUAUUGAGAAUCAUUAUUAAUCUAAUACAGGACAAAGAUGGAUUUCUUUCUAUAAGACAAGCACCACACUGAUAAUCUGUAAUGAGGUGUCCAGAGAGGAAAACGAAAACAGCUCGAGCCGGGAAUACAAUUGGCUAGUCAGUCAUAAAACGUACCAGUUCUCUUGGGAGAAGGGCGUUGUGUCACUUCCGGGAGCCCGAAAAGUCUGUCCAAUCAGAGAGAGCUCAGACCAUAGAGGUGGGCCAGCCGGCCAUGCCACUGCAUUCUGGGAGUUGGGUGGGGCCACGUGGAGGGGCAGCAAGAUGGCGGACAGGUUCAGGUAGCUGUUGGAUGAGUUGGAGAAACAGUUGGGGUUUUCGUUCUAGUGUACACCUUCCAUUUAUCCUGGCUCUAUGGAUCAAAUAUGAGUUCUGAAUCGAAGACAAACGCUGAAACUGGCCACCAAAAAUGUUUUCCUUCAAAGUGUGUCCAAAACAGCAGCUCAAUUUUGGCACGUUUCUGGAUCCCAUAGGCAGGACCUCCGAGCUUUCCUGAUCCAGGUAAUGAUGUUAUAUAAUGGAAAGAGAUUGAAGUUUAUACUGGAUCUGGAUUUCAGUUCUAUGCUAUACCCCAGAAAAAUUAAAUUAGAAUCUUUGGGGUUGGACUCCAACAUCACCAGUAUUUUUUGAAGGUUGUGCCUGCCAAAUGUGCUGUCAAGGUUGAGAACUACUAUGUUAGGCUCAGUGCCCCAGAAUGCGAUUGUACUUGGAGAUAAGGCAUUUACAGAGAUAACUGAGAUAAAAUGAAGUCUUAUGAGUGGGUCCUAAACCAAUAUGACUGAAAUUCUUAUAAUAAGAGAAGACUAAGACACAGACAUGCACAGAGGAGAGACUAUAUAAAGACACAGAGAGAAGUUGGACAUCUAGAAGCCAACACAUCAGAAUGUAAUUAGCCCUGCUAAGACCUCGAUCUUGGACUUUUCACCUCUAGAACUAGCAACAGACCCUUGACCAUAAACUCCAGUCUGUGUGCAGAUCUAGGUUCUGUCUUACACUUGAGGAGCCAUCUGCCUGAAGCUUAGAACUCUGGGGUGACCCUGUGGCCCUUUGGUAUCCUGGUUGGAGCCCAGCUGCAACUUAACUUCUUGAAGAUCUGUUUUAUACAAAACCAGUGUGUGUACUGGCACAAGGCUUGGUAUUUACUUGGUAUUUACCAAAACGUAAAAUUCCACAUGCAGAUUGAGACACCUGGCUCUGCAGCAUCCAGGCUCAUUUACAAUACAAUUGUGCCUUCUACCAAGGUUGGCAUUGCUGGUGCAGCAACAUUCGUGUUCAUUGUUUUGAUUUGUCAUAAUGUCUGGCUGAAGAAGAAUGAGGUAAGAGAAUGACAAUUGAAGCUUGAACCCACUGCUUUUGAAACACAGAUUUGAGAAGAUGGCCUGGUCUCUGGCACAUGAAACUAGGCCUCUGAAGAGAAGUUUCAUCUAUGAAAAAUUCACCCAACACAUAAAAUAUAACCCAUAUUAUUUAAAUCUCCCUUAAUCAAGUAUAAUAAAUACUCUACAAAAUUAGAGCAUGAUGAAAUUCAAGGUUGAAAAGUAAUGCAUUUGGUCACUUUUCAUUUUCUAUCCCAUUAUGGUGACUAUUGUGGAUGGGAGAAUAUUAAUUCCUCAGGUAAGUUGUAAAGGUUUUAAAAUUCAUAGCCUUGUUUUGUAAGCUCGCUGAAUAGGAAGAAGUCUGUAGUUGUUUAGAACCUUAAUUAUCUCUUUUUACUGACAAAAUCUAAGCAAGUUACUACCUCCAAAUCCCUAGGAAUGAACAGUUGGUCUUUUGACUCUCCCUGCCAAUAUAAGUGACUUUAAAUCUUUGCCAGCACAGGUUAAGAGAUCAACUCUUCUCUCAGAGCUCACUGAAGUCAAACUGCUCUGACUCGCAGAAGGGGUUUGAUUCUGCUCUCCCUUUUCGUUCAUUCUCUUCUACUUUUCCCCAAGCAUCCUACUCUAGAUAAAAUACACAAGCUUAUAGUGAGGCAAAUUCAUUGUGUGCUGCCUCAACGAUCCUCACUCCCUGCCCUGCCCCCACACAAAAGCUAGAGUCUAAUCAUAAUGAACUGCGCCUGCUUUCCUGGAGACACUCAGGGGUGGACACUCAAGGUUAUUUUGGGACUGGUGGCUCUAAACCUCUCCUUCUAACCACUUCUCUCCUUCCUUGGUGAUGGAAGCUGUUGUGACCUCUCACCUUGGGGAAAGGUUAAGCCUGGUUGCCCAGAGAUUUCCAAACAGGAAUAAUACUAGGAUUCUCUUCAGUGGCGUAUGGGAGGUAGGGAGUAAGCAUUAACACUACCAUUGUUUAGGAUUGCCAGCUCACCAUGAUAAUAAAGUGCAUACUGACUUUUAGUUGUUUUUUUUAAGCAAUUUUUUAAGUUUAUUUAUUUAUUCAGUGAGGAGCCUGACAUGGGGCUCUAUCCCACCAGCUGUGAGAUCAUAACCUGAGUCGGAAGCUUAACCGACUAAGCCACCCAGGCGCCCCCUUUUAGUUGGUUUUUAUUACUGUUUGAAAUUUUCUACAGAUGGUGCACCCACUUGUUGCUUGUACUAGGGAAAACUACUCUUUAACCCUCCCUUCAGAAAGCUACCGUUUUCUCCCAUCUGUGUCCAGAAGCACACCCUGCUCUCACCUUUCCAGCAAAUGGAGGGAGACUCAGACAUGACCCUAAAGUGUAAGUUCUGAAAGACAGGAGAUAGUCUGAUUCCCUCUUGGAUCUGGAACAGGUAACACAAAUGAUUGGCUCUAAUCUGUGUUUAGGAAGUUAUUGCUAAAUAAAUAGAGAAAUGAAUUAGUUUUUAUUUCACCGAAAGAAAUGACCACUUUUCUGUUCUCUUCAUGCUAAGAGAUGAUCCCACGAAAUAGAUUUCACUGCACUUAACUGAAAAAUACCUCUCAGGAGUGAUAAUUUCCAUUUAUCAAGGGCAGUUUUCCAGGUAAAGGGGUACCUGUGAGCCAUUAGCAGAUCAACUCACACUAGCUGUGGGAUAAGUGCACUGGCCUGGAAAAAAGGGAUACUGCCAGGGCACCAACAGCAUCUAUGAUACUCUAUCCCUUACACCACUCAUAUCCAGUUGUUUCCCACAUGAAAUUCACUCCAUCCUGGAAAAGAUUUUCCAAGCUCUUUGGUUAUGAUGUUUAGAGGUGGUGGUUAGCAGCUGACUUACAUCAAUGGCUGAGUCAUUCUGUCCACAGUCAUUUCAUGACUAAUGAAUUAAAUGGAGCUGAUGAAGACCAUGAUCCAUUUACCUUUUAAGUCUUUGAGGAUGGUACCAAUCUCUGCCUUUCCAUCUGGAAUAUAAUAUUGUUUUUGAUGUAUUACCUUAGAAAUUGCAGGGGGUAUUCAUUUUGGUUUUUCCCACUGUAACAGCUCUUUAUCUACAAAUCAUUGUGAGGGUUUUCACAAACGUUAAGUACACGUAUGCUGAUUAUAAAUUUAGCAAGCCAGGAAAUAACCGCAGGGUAGAUUCAUGGACCCUGUGCACCCACUAUGAGAUGGACCCAGCCUAGAACUCUGGACCCAGAUAUGGCUCUUCUCUAACAGGAGGAUCCAUGAUGGUACUCUGUGCCCUUAGGUAUCAUAGUCAACUCAGAUUCCUGAAUCAACAGCCCACUUUCCCCAGUGUAUCUUUAUUUCAGUAAAUGGCCAUUGGCCCCAUUGUAGAAGGAGGGAAACACUACUUUAUACAGUUUCCAUGGUGUUGCAAGUUAGGAAGCAAUAGGUUAUGGGUCUAAGAACUAGCUAAAGUCUGUAAACUGAUGAAGGGAUCAUGAUUUUCCACUGAGUGGGUAGACCUUAGUGUUCUGUUCAUCUAUUCAUGAUAUAUCUUGAUUGCUGAUAUACAUUAAGCAAGACCCCUAUUGACUUGUCCAUCAAUCUCAUUCUGGGAACACCAUUUUCCAUUAGGUAGCUCCAUGGGUCUCUUUGAACACAGCCUGUUAGUCCGUCUGCUGUGCACUUUGAUAAUCAUGCCCACCUUGCUUCUGGCCAUCUGGCCUGUGCUAUUCUGAGGUCCUAUCAUCCCCAUUGCUAUCAAGGAGCACAGUGCUAUAGGAGGAUCUCCUAUCCUUUUAAUCCUCACCUACAUGGGACAGCCACUGCAGCUUCUCGACAAUGCUGGUGCCCCUCUCAUCCAGGAGGGGAGGCUGCAAUAUUGUGAAAGGAAAUUCACCAGGGAAGAAGGCAGCCUUGAACCUCCAGCAGCCCAAACUCACAGCAGCUGUAAGCUGGAUACAACAGGCUGAAGAAGGGAAUCUUGACAGGGCAGCAAUGGCAUCCACUUCAAGGUCUUUCCUUUCUGCCCCAGAUCCCUACUACAUGGGUUUGCCUUAGUCCUUACAAAUAAUGACAUUAUCUGUUCACAUGACUAUUCCUGACCAUAAAGGCUUUCUUUAUGGUGUAACUUAGUUUAAUCUCACUACUGAGGUGUUUUCUCAGUGGAGUUUAUAAGGUUUUUCUGAAUCCUGCAUGAAUAAUGACUUUGACCAACUUAUCUUUGUUUUCCCUGCUAUAAAAAUUUUGCAAAUAUAAUUUUUCAAUCCAUAUGACUCAUGCCAAAUGACUACUAAUUUUCUUCCUGAUUAUAAAGCAGCCAUAAUUCUUGUAGUAAAUUUGAAAAGUAAAGAAAAACAUAAUGAAAAAAUAAUCUUAUCUGACUAUCUGAAUAUAACCAUCGUUAACAAUUACAUUUACUCCAGAGCACCUGGGUGGCUCAGUUGACUAAGUAUCCAGCUCUUGAUUUAGGCUCAGGUCAUGAUCUCACGGUUUGUGAAAUAUAUCUCCCUGUGGGGCUCUGUGCUGACAGCAUGGAGCCUGCUUGGGAUUCUCUCUCUCCCUUUAUCUCUGUCCCUCCCUCACUCUUUCUCUUUCUCUCAAGAUAAAUAAACUUAAAAAAAUUGCUUUAAAAAUAAACAACUAAAAGUCAGUAUGCACUUUAUUAUCAUGGUGAGCUGGCAGUCCAAAACAAUGGUAGUAUUAAUGCUCACUCCCUAUCCUGCCAUGUUCCACUGAAGACAAUCCCAAUAUUAUUUCUCUUUGGAAAUCUCUGGACAACCAGGCUUAGCCUUUUCCCAAGGUGAGCAGGUGCGGGCACAGGCUCUCUCCCUCUCUCUCUAAAAGAAAAGAAAAAAAUUGCAUUUACUCCCAAAUAUUCCUGUGUGUGUGUGUGUGUGUGUGUGUGUGUGUAGGUACAUAUAUAUCCUAUUUUUAUCUUAAUGUGACUUUAUGUGACCUUUAUCAUGCCAUUAAAAGUAAUAUUUGUAAGACUCUUUUUAACAACUACAUGAUAUAUUGUCAUAUGAUUGUACUUUUAUUAAUGUAAUUAAUUUAUUUGAACACUCUCCUAAUUUUGGACAUUUAGAUCUUUCUUAAUGUUUCAACUAUUAUUAUAAAUAACAUUGCAGUGGGCGUAUUUUUUAAAUAAUUGAAGUAUACUUGACAUACAAUGUUAUAUUAGUUUCAGGUGUACAACAUAAUAAUUCAACAAUUCUAUACAUUAGGCAAUGGUGAACACAUUGUUUUUGUCUGCCCUUCUAGUCACUUAAUUCAUACAGUAUUCCUUUAGCUGACAGGUAUUCACUCAGUCCCCAUUACAAGCCAGAGGCACUGUGCAUUCAGCUAAGCACACAGCAAAAGACCAGGCAGGCACCCUCUGCCCUCCCUGCUGCCAUGGAGGUCAGGAUCUGCUGGGGAAAUAAAUCUGGGAAGUACAGCAGGUCCAGGGGUGAUGAUAACUACAAGGGGAAGUGCAGUGGGUCUUGUGUCUUUGUGAGCUUGGGUGAUGAUGACAAAAUAUUACAGACUGGUGGCCUAAACAACAGAAAUUUAUUUUCUCACAGUCUGGAGAGUGGAAAUCUGAGAUCAGGGUGCCAGCACGGUCAGGGUCUGGGAAAGGUUCUCUCCCUGGAUUUCGAUGGCCACCUUUCUGUGCAGUGCUCGUGUGGCAGGUGUGCCGAUAGAGAGAUGUCUUUUUCUCUUUAUAUAAGGCCACUAAUUAUGUUGGAUUAGGAACACUCUUACGACCUCAUUUAACCUAAUUGUCUCCUAAAAGCCUUAUCUUCAAAUACAGUCCCAUUGGGGGUUAAGGCUUCAACAUAUAAGUUGGGAGGGGCAGACAUCAGUCCAUAGCACCUUGGGAGCAUUUCAGGAGAGAGUCUAGUUGAAUAUUUUUUUCAAAUGUUUAAAAAAAUUGGAGUUCUGGUAAUUUGCUUUUUAAUUUGGAUGUACCCUUUUAGGCUUGCCAGAUUUAGCAAAUAAAAACAGAGAAUGCUAAAAAAAAUAAGAUAAAAUAAAAAAUAAGAUAAAAAUACAGAAUGUUCAGUUAUAUUUGAAUUUCAGAUAAACAGCAAAAAAUUGUUAGUAUAAGAGUGUCUCUUACAAUAUUUGGUGUUCUUGGGGUAUCUGGGUGGCUCAGUAAAUAUCUGACUUCGGCUCAGAUCAUGACCUCACCGUUUGUGAGUUCAAAUUCUGCAUGGAGUGAGCUCAAGCUCUGCUUGGGUGAGCACGGGCCCCGCUUUAGGUAAGCCUUGCUUGUCUCUCUCUCUCUCUCUCUCUCUCUCUCUGCCCCCCCCCCCACCUCACUUGCGCCCUGUCUCUCUCUCAAAAAAAAAAUUCUUAAAUGCGUUCUGUUUUUUUCUCUGGCAGUCCUUUUCAUGCUUCAAUGUGGUCAAUGCUACUUUUUUAUUCGUGUAAGGGAUCAUAUCCUAUGAAUUUGUCAUUCUGCAGGACACCAACUUAAAUGUUUGUGUGUUGAAUUAAUAUAAGGGCAGUGAGAUUAAGUGUUUUUAAAGUGUCCAGGUAAAACUGAUUGCUACAUUUGUCUGACAUUUCUGUGGGAAGACACUUCAAAGAAAAGAUAGUCUCCUAUUUUUUGCCAAAUUUGUAAGCCUCUGUUAUUAUCUGACUAAAAUUUGUAUUAUUUACACUACAUCUGUUUCUAAAGCAUCAAGACAUAUAUACUUUUCUUCACUUUAAAAUAAAAUUUUAAACAGAAGGAGGCUUGUUUAAGAAAAAGUAUUCUCACUUCCUCAGUAAUUCUUCAUGGAACCCCCAUUAUGAAGUGAACAUUUAACUUCCUUUGACAAGUCCCUACUCCUGGAAAACUACUUUUUAUAAAUACUCAGAACAAUGUGGCAAUGGUGUAGGGCUUUCAGAAGACGUGUGGCUGUACCUCUUCACAUUAAUCCUUUGUCCUGAGGCUGCCAUUCACUGUAUUUUAGGCAAGGUAGCUCUUAUCUCAAGAGUAGGGUUUCAACUGCUAGCAUACUUUCUGACUCUCGAUCACUUUCUCUGCCUUAAAGGCUUUAUAACUGUUCCUUGAAAAACACUCAAGCCAAGAAGGUGGCACAAUUAGCAUUUGCCUCAAUACUCUCACAGAGGCUCUACCCAAGAUAAUUUUACACUCAGCCACAGACACAUUAUACGAUUUUUUUUCAAGGGAUUACCAAUUGGAAAUGAGAGCUGAAAUGUAUCCUAUACAGUACAAUUGUACAUACAAAGUGCUAACGUCUUAAGAGACACAAUGUCACCCUAUCUAUGGAAUCUAGCUGCCCAACGAAAUAUUCAGCAAAUAUUUAUUACAUGGCAGUAUCUGAUUUGAAUGUUGAUGUCCUCUGAAUUUCUUUACUGGUCUCCAAACUCCUUUUCAGAUUUCCUAAGAGAGCUUUUCUUUCUCUUCUCACCUCUAAGUCCAUAAACACAGCGCAUUGUCUCGCUUAUCAUCGCUAAAGAAGCAAGGUCUACUUGAAUGACCCAAGCUCCCAGCUAGUAAAUGCUCAGUUGUAAACUGUUGGGGAUGGAGAACAUAAGAACCUAAAAUUAUGUUUGGCUCUUAGUUGGAUUUCGAUUUAAUCGUUUCGAGCAAUGGGAAGCUGUGAAUUAAAACUAUUCUUGUGAAGGGUUGGAGGGAAUACUUUAGUUUUCUGUAUGCAAAGGAGGUAUUUUUUUUAGAAGUCUGAAUUACAAAUGUUUUAAUACAGAGUUUUAAGUAACAGCUGUUUUGCAUGCACUCUUCUUGACUGGUAGUGACUUCCAACAUCUACAGUCCCUUUCAAGAUCUAAGCUUCAUGGGGAUAGUAAGUUUUGCUUAUUUUGCUUAUUUCUUUAUUUCUAAUGCUGGGAGCAGUAUCUAGUGCAUGGUAUAUUCUCUUUAAAUAUUUGUUAAAUGUAUGAAUAAAUAAAAUACAAGCAAAAAAUGUACUUGAUUUCACUUCCCAGUGUAUAAUCAUGAACAAAUGUUUGGUGAAGUAAGAGGGAUACUCAUAAUUAGCACUAAUUUCGUUCCUACUGUCGAGGUGGGUGUUCAUCGGGUGUUCAUACCAACUCGUUCUAAUUGAUGUUUUCAGAACUCCCCUUGCCAAACAUUAGUGACUUUUGUCCUGCCAUGUUUACAUACCUGAAACCAAGCACAGGCACUUUUUGAAGUUAAUUAAAGAUUCACUUAUGUUAAACAUUUCCGGAUGAUAGCAAGAGACCAACUUGGCAGACAAUAGAAAUAAUCUCUAGUGCUUCCUUCUGUGAUUUUUCUCAGACAGGUCUUGAAGGGUCUGGUCCUAAUGGGAUUGAUAGAAGCGAGAUGGGGCGAUUGGGAGAUGCUGUGAGACUUAGGUUGCCUACAGCAGGAGAAUGCAGGUGAAUUCACAAAGAUCACCAACGUCAUCCUCUGCAUAGCCGAGUGCUCAUUAUCCAGGACAAAUAUAAAAUCCCCUUGCUGGCUUCGGCCUGCCAGCCAGUGCCUUUCUGAAGCCAACAGUCCAUUCAGUCCAAGAGACAACUUGGUGUUUGCUGCUAUAUGAUCAUGAACAGAAGGAUCCGCUUUCUGCUUGGAUGUUGGUGGGGCAUGUAAUCCUGGUCACAGCUACAAUAGCUUUUACUUUUCAACCCCUCACUGUUUGUAGAAGAUGGGAUUUAGUAUUUUGUUCGGGUAUCAGAGGUAACAUAAACUUUGAACUUACUUUUAAAAAGUGCGAGAUUGGGGCACCUGGGUGGCGCAGUUGGUUAAGCGUCCGACUUCAGCCAGGUCACGAUCUCGCAGUCCGUGAGUUCGAGCCCCGCGUCA